rnacentral:lncRNA from 1 species
CACAGAUCUGGGGCUGUGGGCGCGAGAAGAUUAGUUGGGACCAAGAGACAUUCCUUAUACGUAUUGUGGCAUCUUUAAAGGAGAGAAUAAACUCUUGAACAAGACCCUUGAAACCUGAUUCUAAUCAGAGGAGAAUGCUGAUGUGACUGAUACAGACUCCAGGGAGGUGGUGCCUGACAUUCAGCUCACUGGAUCUCUGCUCAGAACUUGCCCAGAGGGUUACUUAAAGCUGAGUUUUAUCAGUCAACCUCAAUUCUGAGUUAAAGGUGUGCUUCAAACAAACUCUACAAAACCCAGAAAUGAUUCAAGGAUAAGGGCUAACUUUCCAGGAUCUUCAGGUCCUAGACACCUUCAGGAAAAAAGUCUAUGAAAGGUCAGUAUAAUGGCAGGCAGAGUUUGAAGGACUUCAGUGUUUACAGGAAGGAUGUAUAAUACUUUAGGACCGGGGGAUUCCAGAGAUCUAGAAAUGAAAGCAGAGGAGGAGAGAAGGAAGAUAAUGGCUAUACUACAUCUGGACAAGUUGUUUGAGUGUUGGUAUUGCCAGAGUCAAGGAAAGAAACCCCCUCCAUAGACAAAGCCCC